CGUAAUAAACAUGUUGAUAAGGAAUUAAAUUGAAUUUUUGAUGCUCAAACAAAAUCCUAAUUUUACUAUUGAUCUUAGCAAUGAUGUAUUGAAACUUAUGAGAAAGAUACUAAUAUCAAUAUAUAUAUAUAUAUACUAGCAAAAACUACGUGCGAGGCACGUAUACUAAAUUUUAUGCUAGUUUUUUUCUAUGUUAUUUGAAAGUGAUACAAUAAAAAAUUAAAAAAAAAACAUUAUUAGUUAUUAGGUGAGAUUAUUUGAAUAAAGAACAAUAAAUAAUCACGUAAAAAUCAAAAAAUAAUUAUUUGAAUAAAAAAUUCAAUAUACACAUUUAUAUAUAUGAAUCUCAUUAAUCAAAAAGAAUUAUUAAAUAUAUGAACAAUAAUUUGUCACGUUAUAUGUUUCCCAAUAAAGAAAUCCACCUCCUCAUAGUCAAAAAUAAACAAUAUAUGUAAUACAGAUCUUUGUAACGAAGUACCUAAAAGAAACAAAACUUCAGUUAGCAUAAUCGGAAAAGGUUUAAGUGAACUAAAUAAUGACUAAGAAGAUCUAAAUUACAAAAUGAAAAUAACAUGUCUAUAUGAGUAUGUAUAUGAGCAUAAUUGAUCUAAGAGAAAAUAGAUAAACUUAUAAACAUAUAAAUAUACUUAAUAUUAAUUUUGACAAAGAAACAAUUCAAUUAUAAACAAUUCUAAAUAUCAGCUUGACAAUUUCAACACACUAAUUACUCUAUAAAUAACCAUAAUGUAUACAUCAUGAUAAUUUUAUUUUAUUUGAUAUCAAAUGAUAAUUCAAAAUAUAAAGUUAGUGAUGAGAGAAUGAUAGGAAGGCUACGUGGCAACCUUAGAGAAUUAACCUCAAAGAAUCAACAAAGAGAUAUAGUUUGUUAUUGUUUGUUUGACUCAAAGGAGAGUCUUUCUCAGUAGGUUUAUGAUUGGGUAGUGAGGUAUAGUUACUUAUUUGAAUUCUUUUAAAAUUAACCUUAAUUAAUUGAAGAGCCACGCCCUGACUGAAAAAUAGGGUGUGUGGUUAGUGUCUAAGGUUAUAAAUAGAGGGUUCCUCUCAUCAUUUCUCACUCACAUCCAACACUAAAGAUACUUCCUAGCUCUCUUGACCAGCACCCCACAGUCAUCAUCUAGUAUUAUAUUUUCAUCACCACCACCAUUGUUAUCAUCCAAGCUCUAUCUAAUCUCUAUCCUUCAUACCCCAUAGUUGAACCUUGAGUUCUUUUCUAAUAUAUACAACAAUCACUUCCCAUACCACCUCAUAUCACCAUACAUUACCAUCAACUUGUAACCAUAUUCUUUAGUUGAGACGUGGGCGUAGAAACCGUUGUUACUACGAUUGCCUUUUUAAAUCUUGUUGAGUAAUAUCAUCACCAUUGCCAUCAUUAUUCCAUUUUCUUUCAUUGGUCAUCAUAGGGUAAUUUGGGUUGCACGUGGUGGCUGAAACAUAAGGAAGGAUUUGCAAGAUUUUGAGCUCUAAAAUAUUUCUCAUAUACUUGCCUAUAUUUCUCUUUGAGAACUAAGGACUUCGUGAGUGAAGCAUGCAAUAAUUCUCAGUGUCACUCCUGAAAUCAAAGUUAGAAUCUCCACAUUCGAGAUUAAGGUUAUAAAACUUAGAAAGCCGGUGGCAAGUGAGACCUUGGAGGCUUGUGUGUGUACUCGCUGAGGACCAUAUAACUGAGGGUGGUCUAGGGCACGCUCCAUUUAUUUUAUUUAGUGUUAUUAAAUUAAUGUCGCAGUUAUUUUUAUUUAUUAAUUAUUAUGUCUUUUAAGUCCAAACUGAGCUCAAAUAUGAAAUAUUUUAUGUUUAUAAAUAAAAGCGACAUUAUAGAUUUUCCGCAUUUUAACGCUUGUAACUAAAUUAGUAAUUUAUGAAAAGUACGGGCGUUACAAUUUAGGACCUUUAUGAUCUGAAAAGAGUUUAGGUUAAUUUAUAAUCUGUCAUCACAUAUGAGGAAGAAGAAUGGUUAAUUAGUGUUAAUAAUUGGGUAAUCAAAGCAAUUGAAAUCAUAUCCCUAAUUUCACAUCCAUUGUUAAACAUUUUAUUUGUUUGUUUUAUUUAAUUUUGCUUAGUUUAUUUUGUUCAAAGUUUAUUUAUUCGAUUGCCAAAUAGAAACAAGAAUUUAAUUGAUUGUUACUUAACUGCAGUCCUCGUGGGAACGAUCUCACUUACCUGAGUAUUACUUGUUAAAACGAUACGUAUACUUGUGUGUUGGAUUUAUCACAACAAUCCAUUUCACACGAGGUAUUGAAUUCAGUAAAGAGA